ensembl:antisense Gm29155 predicted gene 29155
AUCUUGGUUUAGCAAUGUAAACAAAUGUGAGACAUGGGAACGGAGGCAAUUUGGGAGAUGAAGGGAUCUGAGGUCAAUCCAGGAUCUUAGGAUACCAGUAUGAACUAACUGUCCACUAAAGAAAUCUGUGCCUGAGCUCUUGAUAAUUUCCACCAUGCCAAGGUAUCGUCUAUACCUGAGCCUUUUUUCUCCUUAUAAGGUAAAUAAAGUGUGCAUCUGUCCAAUGC